rnacentral:rRNA from 1 species
AACGAACGUUAGCGGCGCGCCUAACACAUGCAAGUCGCACGAGAAAGGGCUUCGGCCCCGGUAAAGUGGCGCACGGGUGAGUAACACGUGGGUAAUCUGCCCUUGAGCGGGGGAUAACAUUCCGAAAGGAGUGCUAAUACCGCAUAAGACCACGGCUUCGAAAGGAGCAGCGGUCAAAGCUGGCCUCUGUACACAAGCUAGCACUCGAGGAUGAGCCCGCGGCGCAUCAGCUUGUUGGUGAGGUAAUGGCUCACCAAGGCUAAGACGCGUAGCUGGUCUGAGAGGAUGAUCAGCCACACUGGAACUGAGAAACGGUCCAGACUCCUACGGGAGGCAGCAGUGGGGAAUCUUGCGCAAUGGGCGAAAGCCUGACGCAGCGACGCCGCGUGAGUGAUGAAGGCCUUCGGGUUGUAAAGCUCUGUGGGGAGAGACGAAUAAGUGCAGCCUAAUACGUUGCAUGAUGACGGUAUCUCCUUAGCAAGCACCGGCUAACUCUGUGCCAGCCGCCGCUGUAAAAC